GCAGGGAUGGCGGAAUUGGCAGACGCGCAGGCUUCAGGUGCCUGUGAUCGCAAGGUCGUGAGGGUUCAAGUCCCUUUCCCUGCA
rnacentral:tRNA from 1 species